rnacentral:tRNA from 1 species
CCGUGGUUAGCUCAGGUGGUAGAGCGCUCCACUUGUAAUGGAGAGGUCCCGGGUUCGAUACCCGGACCAGGCG